rnacentral:rRNA from 1 species
AUGAACGCUGGCGGCGUGCUUAACACAUGCCGGUCGAACGGAAAGGCCCAAGCUUGCUUGGGUACUCGAGUGGCGAACGGGUGAGUAACACGUGGGUGAUCUGCCCUGCACUUCGGGAUAAGCCUGGGAAACUGGGUCUAAUACCGGAUAGGACCACAUUUUGGAUGGUGUGGUGGAAAGUUUUUCGGUGUGGGAUGAGCUCGCGGCCUAUCAGCUUGUUGGUGGGGUAAUGGCCUACCAAGGCGUCGACGGGUAGCCGGCCUGAGAGGGUGUACGGCCACAUUGGGACUGAGAUACGGCCCAGACUCCUACGGGAGGCAGCAGUGGGGAAUAUUGCACAAUGGGCGCAAGCCUGAUGCAGCGACGCCGCGUGGGGGAUGACGGCCUUCGGGUUGUAAACUCCUUUCGCUAGGGACGAAGCGCAAGUGACGGUACCUGGAGAAGAAGCACCGGCUAACUACGUG